rnacentral:pre_miRNA from 1 species
AGAGGGAUUGCUGGGUCAAAUGGUGGUUCCAUUCCCAAUUUUCUAAGAAAUCUCCAUACUGCUUUCCAUAUUGGCUGCACCAAUUUGUAGUCCCACCAGCUGU